AGAGCAUGAUACUGGCUCAGAACGAACGCUGGCAGCGUGCCUUAUACAUGCAAGUCGAGCGAGAAACUCCCUUCGGGGAGGAGUACAGCGGCAGAUCGGUGAGUAAUGCAUGGAUAACCUGCCUUUCGGAGCGGAAUAACAGUGCGAAAGCGCUGCUAAUGCCGCAUGUUGAUCUCCGGGCACUUGCUUAAUCGUAAGUGGAGUAGCCUGGGGGUUGAAAGGGUUGCUGCCUUUGGGCAGCUUCCGCCGGGAGAGGGGUUCAUGUCCUAUUAGCUAGUUGGUGAAGUAAUGGCUCACCAAGGCGAUGAUGGGUAGCCGGCGUGAGAGCGUGACCGGCCACACUGGAACUGAGACACUGUCCAGAGCCCCACGGGGCGCAGCAGUAGGGAAUCAUCCACAAUGGGCGCAAGCCUGAUGGUGCGACGCUGCGUGGAGGAAGAAGGCCCAAUGGGUUGUAAACUCCUUUCGGGAGUUAAGAACAUCCCUUUCGAGGGACUGACGAAGGCUCCUAAAGAAGCCAUGGCUAACUCCGUGCCAGCAGCCGCGGUAAGUCGGAGAUGGCAAGCGUUGUUCGGAUUCACUGGGCGUAAAGCGCAUGUAGGCGGCCCGGUAAGUUAGAGGUGAAAGCCCGCGGCUCAACCGUGGAAUUGCCUCUGAUACUGCCGGGCUAGAGGGCGAUAGGGGAGAGUGGAACUCUUGGUGGAGCGGUGGAAUGCGUAGAUAUCAAGAGGAACGCCGGCGGCGAAAGCGACUCUCUGGAUCGUUCCUGACGCUGAGAUGCGAAAGCCAGGGUAGCGAACGGGAUUAGAUACCCCGGUAGUCCUGGCCGUAAACGAUGGGUACUUGGCAGUAGGGGUUAACCCUUUGCUGCCGGAGCUAACGCGUUAAGUACCCCGCCUGGGUAGUACGGCCGCAAGGCUAAAACUCAAAGUAAUUGACGGGGGCUCGCACAAGCGGUGGAGCAUGUGCCUUAAUUCGAUUCAACGCGAGGAACCUUACCAGGACUUGACAUGCUGGUGGUACAAUCCCGAAAGGGGGAGGACCCGCAAGGGAGCCAGCACAGGUGUUGCAUGGCUGUCGUCCGUUCGUAUCGUGAGAUGUUGGGUUAAGUCCCGCAACGAGCGAAACCCUUGUCCUUAGUUGCUAACGCGUCAUGGCGAGGACUCUAAGGAGACUGCCGGUGUCAAACCGGAGGAAGGUGGGGAUGACGUCAAGUCAUCAUGGCCCUUAUGUUCUGGGCGGGACACAUGCUACAAUGGUCGGUACAAUGGGAAGCGAAGCCGCAAGGCGGAGCGAAGCCCUGAAAACCGGCCCCAGUUCGGAUCGGGGGCUGCAACCCGCCCCCGUGAAGUCGGAAUCGCUAGUAAUCGCGGAUCAGCCACGCCGCGGUGAAUAUGUGCCCGAGCCUUGUACACACCGCCCGUCAAGCCAUGGAAGCUGGGAGCACGCGAAGUCGUGGAUCCAACCCUCGGGAGGGUCGCGCCCACCGUGAGCCCAGUAACUGGGGCUAAGUCGUAACAAGGUA
rnacentral:rRNA from 1 species